AUGUAACAAAUAACAGUGUGAGUUCUCAUAGUUGAUUUUAUAAGAACGU
rnacentral:guide_RNA from 1 species